rnacentral:misc_RNA from 1 species
GUUGGUGAACCAGCGGAGGGAUCAUUAUCGAGUUUAUUCAACUCCCAAACCCUAUGUGAACUUACCAUAUUGUUGCUUCGGCGGAUCGUCCCAGGUGGCUUCACGGCCUCUGGAAUCAGGCGUCCGCCGGAGAUUUCAAACUCUUCUGUUUUAUACAGUUUUAUCUGAGUGGCCGAAAGGCAACAAACAAAUGAAUCAAAACUUUCAACAACGGAUCUCUUGGUUCUGGCAUCGAUGAAGAACGCAGCAU